CAGGGAGACAACAAAAUGUUUAAUAUUAUUAUUUUGUCACCUUAGGUCGAUCGGUAUCUCACGUUUUUAAUUUAUUAAGAAUUUCAUUUCCUAAGUUUUUCUAGGUCACACCCAUUAUUUUUCCUGGGCCAUUAGCUCAGGUGGUUAGAGCGCACCCCUGAUAAGGGUGAGGUCCCUGGUUCAAGUCCAGGAUGGCCCAUAUCUCUAUGUUGGGGGUAUAGCUCAGUUGGUAGAGCGCCUGCUUUGCAAGCAGGAUGUCAGCGGUUCGAGUCCGCUUACCUCCACUGAUCACCACCUCUUCCAUAACUGGUAGAAAGGAAAUUUUUUGAGUUGUGAUCAAAUUCUGAAAGAAUCUAGCUUCCUAAUGAAAUCGUUAAGAUGCUGGACUCAUUGAAUUAAUUUCAUUGUUUUCAGAGAACCUUGACAACUGCAUAGAUUAUUUUUAAUGACAAUAAGCAUCUUUAGUGAUGCAGAUUUAUUAUUUGUGCAAAUGCAUUAAUAACAAUUCUAUUAAGCUGAUGCUUCAAUAUUUGAAGUUAUU
rnacentral:tRNA from 1 species